rnacentral:tRNA from 1 species
UCCUGGUUAGUUCAGUUGAUAGAGCACUUCACUGGAAAUGAAGAGAUCUCUGGUUCGAUCCAGGACCAGGCG